rnacentral:sRNA from 1 species
AGUCGUCUGCGGGAAUAUCCAGCAACGUGAUCAGGCCCGCCUUGGCGUCGGCGAGGAUCUUGUUCGCAACGGGGGAGCGGUGCGAGAUCUCCGCUAGGCCCAGGCCGCAGUCGUGGUAGUUUAUGAGGGCUGCGGCGGCGGAUUCGAUGACGGGGGUUGGGAGCGGGGCGGGGCCUGCGCCGAAGUAGGAGAUGGAGGCGCGGGCAGGCAUGGUGUUUUUUUUUUUGUUCUUCUUCUCUUGAUGAUCGUAUUUUUAUUACCCCCUCUUAUUUAGACAGAAAUAUAUGUAUAUAUCUUUUUCAAUUGUAUGAUUUAGGGGGUUGAGGGGGUUGGAUGGUGCUGUCUCUGAGGCGGUUGUGGCGCAUAGCAAAAUUUGAAUGUGAUGAUGAUGGCGGGGCAGAUCUGCUUGCCGUAAGUUGUAUUAUCGAUUGACCAAUUCACUGGGAACUGACAGUUUGUUCAGCGGGAUCUAUGUGAACAUGGAAGGCUUCUGAGACACUUGAGAUAUCCAGCUGUAGUCGAUUUAAACAUCACUUGCUUGAGGAUGCGGCAUUGAGUCAUAAGGAAUUUUAUUUCCGAGUUAUGAGGUACCUAAGGUGGCUUUGAACAGCUUCUGACAACAGGGCUAGAAUUAUCAUGACUUCUCCAAUUUUAUGAAAUGGAAGGGCAAUCUACAGAUGUAAUCUCUCAUCGUCAAUUGGAUUUUGCCAUCACAAACUAAGUCAAUGUUUUUCUUUUUGGAUCUUAUCACUGAAGCGUAUGCGAAGUAUUCAGUUUUGAGAAUGAAUGGUUGUUGACGAUUUGCUACAAACAACAGGAGAAAGCAAUUGACGUAUACACUGAUUUACGAAAUUGACCAAAGCAAAGAGAAGAAAAUAAUGCAAUCUAUCAUCUACCAGACGAUAUCGCCUGCUGGAUAGGGUUCCUAUUAUAUUCGAGAUAACAGAAUAUUCCCUGACCAUCAUAAAUUACUGGUUAAGGGUCAGAAAAUAUUAUUAUAUAUUUCAGCAGUUCAAUAUAUAGACAACACUGAGAUAUUGCUUAUUUCUAUUCCAAGGUUCUCAAAACCCAUAUUCUUCUCUUCUCUAUUAAUUUAUAUGAUACCAUAGAAUGGCGGGCUAACACUCAAUGCCUAUCCUCUUUCAUAACCAUCACUAAUCGCCGAACUAUUUCCCCCUUCCAAAGUGACCAGCCGUAUUCCUCACCCGUCUCCUCGUGCUUUGUGAAUUGCCUCCAAUUCAAAUAUAUACAUUGAACAUCGUGAUAUCCCUUAGAAAAUAAUAAAAAUACCAAACUACCAUGGUCCCUUCGCAGAAGUGAUGGCUUUCCCUGGAGCUUCAUGCUGAGGCAAUUAUCUCGACCAGCUCCACUCGUCUGCUAGUAAGUAGUACUUCAUCGUGCAAAUGUUCUCAAAUUCUAUACACCGUUGUUUGGAUCGGAUGGAAUCUCUAGACCGGUGUGCUUUCGUCCUGAGAUCGACAUUUCUCUCUCUUCACGGCAUGUCACCUGGUUUCUUUGCACGCAGUCACUCUGAAACAGAUGGGUUUCGGACAACCGCCGUCCCUAACGAUGAAAUCAACGAGCUCCCUCGUCCCCUUCAAUCCAAUAAGUGGCGUUGCUUGCGCCACGUUCUUAGCCUGUUCACGGUGGCAUUUCUUCAGGGACAUUGCUACCUGCCAACUUGAACCCAAUAACCAGAAGCGGGAUGGUGCUAAUGCCAACCGAAAGAAGUAUAAAUCUAAGUAUUCCCUUUGCUAGGUUCUCUUUUGGCGGGUUAGUGUUGGCAUAACCGGUGAGGGAGUUAGCAGCCUCGGAUGAGGUACAUUCCCCCAAAGACGGCAAUUCCUAGAAUGGAAAUGCUAUGAUGGACAAGGGCACUGGUUUAUUUGCCGUAUUGCAACGCAACACGGGAAGAAUUGCUCCUUUUAGUUACUCGGGAUUUCCUGAUCCCCGUGCUGGUAGCUUGUGGAGGUGGAUUCCGAUACCUUGACUCCUGCCUCUUAGGCUUUCCCUUGGAAUUGGAUGUCCGAUCCAUAUGUGGAACCACAUUCUGCAUGAUUCGGGAUUGAUUAUUUUUCUUGGCUUCCAGGUCUUUAAUUCGCUGGCUCCUACGCAAUGGUGCCGGUUCAACUGAAGAUGCCAUAUUUGCAGAGCUCUGAAACAUCGGGUCCCGCUGUGCUGUCGUCAUCUGUUCUUCGGUGGCUCUCCUCACGCCAUUGCGUCUGAGAAUUAGGGAAGAUGUAUCAGACAAUGGCAUGUCCUGAAGCCGGCGUUUGUCAUGGACGAGUUCUUUCGUCUUCCGGCCAGCUUUGGAAACUCUCCGCGCAUCGAUUGGUUUGAGAAUGGAGCGUGGAGCACUCUGUACACUGUUAUUCGACAUAGAAUUGUUCUUUCUGCGUAAGCGCGUAGACACCGCCGUGUCUCGACUCAUCGCUGUUUCAGACAUCUCGGUCAAAUUCGAAGCAUCUAAUACGCCUCCUGAUUUGUCGUUGUCGAAUUCUUCUUGUGCGAUUUUUGGCAGUUGCUGUUCUAUCCAAUCCAGGAAAACAGUAAACUCGGAUAGUUCCGUUUCAGCCGCGGUUCGAUAUAUCCACGCUAUGUCGGAUGGCUCAUUAGGGUCUAUAUUUCUCCCUGUUCCAUUGACUGCCUCCCAUUCCUUCCGCUCUUGCUCCCGUCGCUGGCGACCAUGCUCUGCCUUUAUCCUCAUUUGACCUAUUUUCCGGUGCUCGCAGAACUGGUACUCCUUCCACUCAUCCACCUUGGUCUGUUUUGCGGCGUCGAACAGUAGAUGAAUAUCACCCUUGAUGUUUUCCUUCUGUCUGUAUUCAAUCACGUUCCGCUGAUACUGGGCGAAUAUCUCUUCGGUUCUGCGGUUCCAACGCUGAGAUUUUCGAAACAUAAUCCAUGCAUUUUUCUGUCGAAGAAACCCAGUUGGCGCCGAUCCCAAGCUGUUUAUGAUAUCUGCGUGUUUUUUGUAAGCUCUUGGAUGAGCGAAUGCGAGCUCGAAGGGAUAGGCCGGUCUGCCGCCCAUUUGUAUGAGAUCAUCGUACCACUUCUCAACCCUACGGCGGGAUUCCUCGCUUACUUGGCGGGGAGACGGAGUAUGGGUUGGAGAGCGAUAUAUUGGCGUUUGACUUGCCGAGCGACUCUGGGAGCGUCGAGUGCUGGUUGUUGACGGGAGAUUUCUAUAGCAACUUUAGACAUCAUAUCCAAUGAGGCCCGGGUCGAACGACCCAUGGGGGGUAGAAAGAUCUGAGAAUCGGCUUACUUAAGUUUCUGCUCCAGCGCUGCUACAUCUAACGGGUGGUCUAGAUCUCGCUUAUUGACAAUCUCCCUUGAGACGGAGAGAUCUCAGCACCCAUCUCGCACUAUGAAAAGAUUCUCUAAAGAACAAGUUUAUACUACCUCAGCCUGAGCAUAUGCUCUUCGGUCCACUCUUGUUCAUCUGGCCUAUCGAUCCAUCUUCCUGGAGUCAGCAGGCCAUCUCAAACAUUCGGCUCGACAGAAGACGAUCGCCUACCUCACUCCUUCCAGGUCACUUGGCCUUAGUGUUUCCAAAUCAGGGAUCGAUAUCUUUAUACGUGAAGGCAUGAUGCCGGGCAUGCAGGAACGUGGAAGUCGGGGCGCAAAAGUUCGCUCCACGGGUUUGCAAAAGCGAGGAAGCACGGACUGACACGUCGGAGGGUGGACGCGAGGUAUAUAUAAGCGUCGAAAAAAAUGAUGAACCCUAUAUCGUUCGGCUCCGAUCACAACAAGAACACAAAACUGUUGGAUGUUGCACAAGUGUUGGCGCCGCUAGGUGUCCUAGUUAUUGCAGACUAGCGUCCCGCAUAGUGUUGAUGUUGGAGGUUCGUCCCCUUGUACUCUACUACCGGCAUGGCGCUGGUGGUGAUCGGGCACUUUUGCCCCAGUGGCCUGGUAUCUCCAUCCCCGGUGGAUGGCAACCAAUAUAACCACUCGGACGUCCAACAAUGGGCCCAUAUCACAUUUCAUUAUUGGCUGCGGCCGCUGGAUGGUAUGGUAACAACCAACCACGGUCAACCUCUCAUAUAAAACCUCCUUGCAACUCCCCGCACAUGAACGAAGGGUGGAUUGGAAGGUUCUGUUUUCCACCUGGCUGCCAAGUUCUAAUUGGAUUUCAAUAACAAUCAUGUAAUUAUCAAAUUGCACUCUCCGAAUGCCUUGUAGGAAUGAGGCUGAGAUGGCUGAUUUUAUGAAAGAUGACUUUGUCAAUAGGGUAUUCAAUAAAACAAGUCAGUACUUUCGGUGACCUAGAAACCUAAGAAUGGCAAAGGAAGGCAGUUUAAUGCAAUGUAUAUUGUGAAUUAAUAAUGAAAUACAUUGGACUCAUUUCUCACUAUAUGAUAUAUCUAUCACUUCAAUCACCAAGUCUGCAUGUCUGAAAUACCCUUUCACUGUUUCACAUCCUGUCCUCUGGCAGCUACAACAUCAACACAUCAAUCAAGAAAAGUAUCAAAGCCCUGGCCCCUCAUCAAGGUUUAAAUAUAUCAGAUGCAUGCAAUGAAUUUGUAGUUAUCAUACAU